UCUCCCUCUCCCCCUCUCUCUCCCUCUCCCUCUCUUUCGCUUGAAUUUGUCCUACAUUUCGUAAUGUUACGUGCCUGCCAUCCUUAUCCUAUGCCAGAGGUACAACACCAGUCUCACCCCCAUUCCGGCGUGGAGUUCUCUGAGUUCGGUGGCACUUGGGAUAUUCCACUUCAGUGCCAUGGGAAGAAAAUGGUGAGCAAAAAGCAAAAGGAAUAAUGCAAAAAAAAAAAAAAAAUUAUAAUGUUGUGGUAUCCAAUUGCUCCUGCUUCAGCCUUUUAUCCAAAGCCUUGAGAUGGAUCUGCCUCAUCCAGGAAGUUUUCCUGCUUCGUUAGAGUAUCUUCGUUUUCUUUAUCAGACGCUGGCUGGCACUCCACGCCAGUGCACGGCUCCAUGGAAUGCCUGCUGUUGGACACUUGCAGAGCUCUGCCACCAAGCAACCUCCUGCAUUGGAAAUCGGGGGACUACUCCAGGAUCUUAUGCGUGCUUGCUGUUUGAAGCUGCAGAAAAGUGAAUAAUCAAUUAAGUAUUGAUUUCUUGUAAGAUUUGGUAAAUUUCAAAGGCAAGACAAAGAGGAUGGCUUAAGGAAACACUGCAGGGACUUGGCGUAAAUUAGACAACUAACGGAAGCUCAGAAUAAAAUAACACCUCAACUGAAGAUUUCCUUGGAAGAAUUAGCACUAGCUAUUGGAAGACAAUGGUGGAUUUAAUCAAAACAGCAGGCAUGCAAGAAUUUUACCCGUGAACCAGAAAAAGGAGCUAAUUAUAACCACCUUUUUAAUGGAGCUAAUUUGACUGAAUGGAUGCAAAUGUGCUUUAUUUAUGGAUGAAGAAGCAAGCCUUACUGCAUGAUCUUGGGAUCACCGGAUCUGCUAAGCUUUGCAGCUCCUGUUACCUUCAGUACAUUUUUUAUUUCCGGAGAAGGUAUUUGUAUGUAAACAACAACUAACCAUACAAAAGAUUCAUCGGAACAAUAUACUGUGGUAUAUGAGAUAUAAUCAUAAUUUUGCAGCCUCUCAGGAUUUCCUCUAACUUGGAGGUUUUGCAACCUUUGUAUGCAAUGGGUUAUGGUAAACAAUAAAUGAAUGAUGCUAAAG
rnacentral:lncRNA from 1 species